rnacentral:lncRNA from 1 species
GCACAGAGGCAGCACAGCUAUGUGGGAAGAACACAGGCUGGUCUGCAGGUGUCUAGAUUUGGAUCCUAGCUCUGUUACUUACUACUUUGUGACUUUGAGCAAAUUCACGUCUCUGAAAGGCCAGGACCAGAGACCAUGCUGGGAAGCCUGGCUGCUCUUUGAGGACUGAGAUGAACUUAGCAAUGCAGAGAAGAACAAAGAGAGGCUUGUGCUCACCGUGUUCCAGAGGGAUCACCGUGUUCCCUUUGUUCAUUUGAGGACAUGAAUACAACUAUGGUCUUUGGACAAAAGGCAUAUGCCAGGCAGUAUGAAUGGUCUCUCUUGUCUGUGCAAUUAGUAUGUAAGAGCACGUGAACUGGUGCCUGGGACCUCUACCUGUUUUAGUAUGAUAGCACCACAGUAAAGGGCCUGGACUUUGUAUGAGCUUGGGAAAAUCAUGUCACCUCUGCAAGUCUUGGUUUCCCUGGGUGUUAAAUGUCAAUUUAAGUAAAAUGCUAUCUACUUUGUUUUGGAGAACAAAGCUCCAAAUUUGGAAGCAGCAGUGAAACUCCACAGGUUACUGAGGGCAAAAUUGCUGGGUCAUAUGGCACCAAGGAAAGGUCUUGUGCUGACACAGGGAGAAAGCUGUCAUUUACAAGCUGGGAGGAGACCUUCACCAGAAACUGAAUUUGCUACCACCUGGAUCAUGAACUUUUACUCUCCAAAACGGAAGGAGGUGAUGAAGAGAGAAAGAAAGGAUGGAAGGAAGGAGGAAGUGGACAAUGAGGUUGUCACUCGCACUUCACGCUGGAGUGCAGUGGUGUGAUCAUAGCUCACUGCAACAUCAAACUCCUAGAUUCAAGCGACCUGAUCCUUCCACCUCAGCCUCCGGAGUAGCUGAGACUACAAGUCCUGGCUGAUGGAUGUAAUGAAGGCAUGAACUAUACUAGUUGAACAAGGAAAUGAACUUGAACCAAAUUGUGAAGUUCUCUGCAGUGAAAUAUUAAAGGUACAGAUCAAAGCUU